rfam:Severe acute respiratory syndrome coronavirus 2 isolate nCoV-FIN-29-Jan-2020, partial genome
UCAUGCAGACCACACAAGGCAGAUGGGCUAUAUAAACGUUUUCGCUUUUCCGUUUACGAUAUAUAGUCUACUCUUGUGCAGAAUGAAUUCUCGUAACUACAUAGCACAAGUAGAUGUAGUUAACUUUAAUCUCACAUAGCAAUCUUUAAUCAGUGUGUAACAUUAGGGAGGACUUGAAAGAGCCACCACAUUUUCACCGAGGCCACGCGGAGUACGAUCGAGUGUACAGUGAACAAUGCUAGGGAGAGCUGCCUAUAUGGAAGAGCCCUAA